AGGCACGUGCCAGCAGAGAUCAUUGCAAGACUGGCUGUGAGUAAACAUACACAGCUGGGUGUACCAUAUAGAGAAGAAUGUAGAGAAUAGGAAGUCUCUCAAACCAACCUCGAAACAAAGGAAGCUCUGCUACUUAAUGGCUUCCCAUUGGCUGCAGAGAAGAAUACUCCGUGGGACAUGUACAAAGACAUGAAAAUGUUCCAGACCUAAGUAAUCAAGAUGAAUGAUCUGAACCUUCACUGAACACAGCAAAGAAUUUGGGACUUUGUACACACAACAGAUAAAAAAAUGUCUGCAGACAGCAGAUAGCAAAAUGUUACAGGAAAGGUCUUCUGCUGCAGGACAUUUUACAUAUCCCGAUGUUUUUUUUUUUUUUUUUAUUGAGGAGAAAAUGCAUACAAAACUAUGCAAAUACAAUUAAGAUAAUGCAACAGGAAAAAAUUAGUUCCUAAUAGUGAAAUCUAAUAACUGCUGUGAGUAAUGUUUUCUUGAGGGCUCUUGAAGCAAACUUAUUAUUAUUUUCCCUUUCAAGAAUUUGUUAUUAUCUCGAAGAUUCCAGUGUCUGUCAAAUCUGAAUUGCAUUAUUUCAGUGAUAUGUUUGCAUAGCUGUCAGGGAAGGCAGCCUUAAAAUUCAAAAGAUAAAAAGUAAUGGAAUAGUUUUACUGGGGUCACAAAGGACUCUUUGCUGACAAAAUAUGAUAAUGUGAUAAUGAGUGCCACCGGGGGAUAUUCCAUACUGUUGCCCAUUUAGUUAUUUUUUUCGUGACCCUAAUUAUAAAGCUUUACAGUGGUUUUAGUAUAUUUCCCCUCUGGAAGCAAAGGCUUCUCUUCUGUGCUCGCAUUUGGGAUGAAAUUUAUACAGUUUAUUUAUCUCAUGUGGUGUCAUUUGCUCCAUUGUGGUAUUAGCUAACAAUUUGAUUUUAGUACUUUUGGUUUCGGGGAGACAACUUCAAGUAUGUUUUCUUAUCUCCCCACAUGUAUUUUUGCUCAACUCUCUCCCUUAUGGCCAUGGCUUACAGGGAGAUUUGUUGCCCGCAAUAGAAAUGCAUGACUGUGGGCUGCAAAAUCUCCCAAAAUGCCUCUUCACCUGCAAUAACCAAAAUUACCAAUUGUAAAACCGAUGCAUCGUUUUGUUCUUCCGAAGUCGCCCGAAGUCGCCUCAGGAGGAUUUCGAUGCGUAGGUUUUACCAUCAGCGAUUUCAGUUAUUGCCAGUGAAGAAGAUUUGCCGCCUGAAAUUGUUCAUUUUUAUCGCAGCCCACAAAUCUCCCUGCCAUCUAUCACCCUUAAAUGAAAGGUAAAUGCAAAAAAAACAUUAUAGUGGUUUGCUUCACCCUACGAUGGCGCAUUUCUGUUCCUUUUGGAGCAUAAUUUUGGUAAAGACAAUGUUUUAUCUACACAACACUGAAUGGUGUAAUAAGACUUUAUGUACAUCAUAUACCACUAACCUUAUUGGUUUACAAGCCAAUAAAAACACAGCGUUCAUCCCCACUAUUAAACGACCAAUCCACCAUCUUGGAUAGAGUUCCAAACUCUUGUAGAUUCUAGGCACUGGCAACUUGAAAUGGUUCUUGUAACUCACUGGGGCUCAUUUAUCAACACUGGGCAAAUUUGCCCAUUGGCAGUAACUCAUGGCAACCAAUC